rnacentral:rRNA from 1 species
CCCAGACUCCUACGGGAGGCAGCGGUCGGGAAUAUUGCGCAAUGGAGGAAACUCUGACGCAGUGACGCCGCGUGCAGGAAGAAGGUUUUCGGAUUGUAAACUGCUUUAGACAGGGAAGAAAAAAGACAGUACCUGUAGAAUAAGCUCCGGCUAACUACGUGCCAGCAGCCGCGGUAAUACGUAGGGAGCGAGCGUUAUCCGGAUUUAUUGGGUUUAAAGGGUGCGUAGGCGGUUUUUUAAGUUAGUGGUUAAACGUCGGGGCUUCACCUUGAUUUGCCAUUAAUACUGUAAGACUCGAGUUCAGACGAGGUAGGCGGAAUAAGUUAAGUAGCGGUGAAAUGCUUAGAUAUAACGUAGAACUCCGAUAGCGAAGGCAGCUUACCAGACUGCGACUGACGCUGAAGCACGAGAGCGUGGGUAGCGAACAGGAUUAGAUACCCGCGUAAG